rnacentral:pre_miRNA from 1 species
AUGUAGGGCAAUUUGUCUUUAAGUAGGGUAGUCUAAAAAGAAAGGAAUCCUAGAUAAGUUUUUCCUUCAAGAAGCUUGUUGU